rnacentral:rRNA from 1 species
CCUACGGGAGGCAGCAGUGGGGAAUAUUGCACAAUGGGCGCAAGCCUGAUGCAGCAACGCCGCGUGAGGGACGACGGCCUUCGGGUUGUAAACCUCUUUUAGUAGGGAAGAAGCGAAAGUGACGGUACCUGCAGAAAAAGCACCGGCUAACUACGUGCCAGCAGCCGCGGUAAUACGUAGGGUGCAAGCGUUAUCCGGAAUUAUUGGGCGUAAAGAGCUCGUAGGCGGUUUGUCACGUCUGCUGUGAAAACUGGAGGCUCAACCUCCAGCCUGCAGUGGGUACGGGCAGACUAGAGUGCGGUAGGGGAGAUUGGAAUUCCUGGUGUAGCGGUGGAAUGCGCAGAUAUCAGGAGGAACACCGAUGGCGAAGGCAGAUCUCUGGGCCGUAACUGACGCUGAGGAGCGAAAGCAUGGGGAGCGAACAGGAUUAGAUACCCUGGUAGUCCAUGCCGUAAACGUUGGGAACUAGAUGUAGGGACCAUUCCACGGUUUCUGUGUCGCAGACUACGACAUUAACGUUACCCGUCCGUCGGGAGGUACGGCCGCGACGGACGUAAACGUUAAAACGUAAAGUUAGUACGGCGUGAGACGUGCCGAACGGACGACGACGAGGGAGGUAGG